AGAAUUCAAUUGAACUAUUGAUAUCUCCGAGCCGUACAUCUUAACCUCUUCGAGGUUCAUUUGUUUGCUUUUGAGUUUCCUUUUCCCUGCUAUUGAACCUCGACAAAUUGAGUUCUAAAUCUACUUUAUGUUGACGAUCUUUCCACGUUCUUGUUGAAAGGCAAUUACCUUUCAUGUAUUCUUGUGGUGGUUAUGUUUGGAUGUUAGAGAUUCAUACGCUAAAUGUAAUACGAAAAUAUCCAUGUUUUGUUUCGCAUGAAAUUAAAUUCAUGGUGUGAAACUUUCUAACGAAAGUUAAUGGACAGAUGUAUAUUAAUCGAUAUCGUUAGAAAUUAUUUUAGAAAUACAAUCAGUAUAUUGAUUUGACAAUUUUUUAUUUUUUUUGGAAAUUUGAUUUGACGAAGUAUGUUAAUCUAUAAUCUAUAUCUAUGACGUAUUGUAAAGUAUGGAUGUUCGAGAACCAUUUUUUGACGAUAAUAAUGUUCUUAAUCAUAUUUUUAAACUUCGCGAUUUACCUGUCAUUCUAUGCUAUUAAAAAAUUAAUUUUAUCUUACAACUACUUAUUUUUUACAGAAAAAAAUUUAUUUAUUCAAAUACGCAGUAACAAUGAAAGAUAAAGAUGCAUUCAAUUGGAAAGUCGAAUUAAUAAACGAGGUUGCCAAAGGGUAAAGAACAUAAUAGAUUUAGAAGUAUUUACUUUGUUGAUCUGUUUAAUUCUCCACGUGCAAUGUAUAAAUGGGGAGUCUUUACUUGACGUUCCUCUCCCCCUCAUUCAACACUUCCUUCUUUACAAGACAGGAAAAUAUAACAUGAAAAAUCAUCUAAAUGAUCGUACAUUUUCAACAAUCUCGAGUUCCCAGCCAUUGCCUUGACAAAUAAUCGAAAGUAGAAAGUGCAUUACGGAAAAUAUGCCACACAAAUAUUCAAAUUUCUUGAGGAACUUGGGAGUUCGAUCUCUUCCAUCCAGUUGUAGAGAAAGUAAGCCUGACCACUUGGAUACAACUUAUAAUUAUUAGGAAAAUAUGAUACAUGAAUUUUAGCUUAUUUAUUAAAAAGAGAGUAAUUGAGACUCUAAAAUAUUCUAACAUAUAUAAAUAAGAUUUUAAUUAAAAAAAUUACUCUUAAAUUUGUGAUUAUAAUUUAUAUCAAUGCCAUUUUAAAAAAAAAAAUGUUGUCUUGUGAUUACAGCUCGCACUGCUAUGUGUACAUUAAGAUUUAUAUAAUGUCACGUAACAUUAUAUCCUUUAUUAGUUUAAAAUAUAAUCAAUUUUUUUAUCUAAUAUUUUCCCUCCCACACCAUAUUUUGUAAUCCGUUAUGUACAUUUUUUUUAUGUAUAAGUAGCAAAAGAAGAAAUUACACCGUAAGUGGUAUUUAAAGAUGACGCUUCUAAAAUCAGGUAUUAAGUUUAUUUGAGCAUAAAUUAGGUAUUAAUGAAACCAUAUUGUAGUCUCUCUCAUAUCUCCCUUUCCCAUUCUUGCACUGUCAUCAUCGAAGCUCCGACAUAAGGUUGUGCAUAAUGACGUUUUGAUCGAGGCCAGUCACUUAUGGGUUUGGGCUUGGAGUGAUUCAAAUCAAUGUUUAGAUCGUUGUUGCUGUUUAUAGAGGCCCAUCUUGAAUCAAGGUAGCUGUUUAGAGAUAUGGGGUUAUUCUAGAUUUCUGGUUUAUUGUUGUUGUUGUUGUUGUUGUUGGCGGUGGCGGUGUUGUGAAAAUGAUGGUGGUUGAGGUGGUUUUUGGUUGUUUAUGAGUGAUGAUGGAGGUGAUUGUUCAAGUGAUAAUAACAGUAGUGGUUUUGUCAGUUGUAUUACAUGAGGCAUUGGUUUUGGUGAACAUGGGAUGAGGUGCUUGAAGUGGUGGUUGGAUGUGGUUUUUGUGAAGGUUUGACGGCAAUUUUGUGGUGAUUUUUAUGAUGUUUUGACGUUGGUGAUUAACUUGGUUGUUGGUUGUGGUGGAUCAAUGUCCAUUGUUGGUGAUGGCAGAGGUAAGCAUGUCAUAGUCGAUUGAGUUUUUAUGACUAAAUAUCUUGAAUAUGUGACCUAUCAAAGUACACGGGUUAUAUGUCAAAGUGUAUAGGUUACAAGUCACAAAUACAAGAAAUUUGGUUACAGACCAUUUGGACUAUGUCACAUAUUGAAGAGAUUUGAAGAUUUGUUCGCCUGCCAUUGGAUCAAGUCAAUGACACAUGUAACAGGGCACAUGUCGAAGUGUAUAGAUCAUAGGUCAUGGAUUCAAAUGAUUUGGUCACAAACCAUUACUUCAGGUUACAUGUCACGAAUCCAAGAGAUUUGGUUAUAGGUCAUUGGAUCAAGUUAUAGGUCAUAUGUCGAAGUGUAUAGGUAGGGAUGUCAAACGGGUCGAACGGCUCAUCGGCUCGGCUGCUCGGCUCGUCAAAACCCGGCUCGUGGGCGGCUCAGGUUUGUCAUUUGCCGAGCAGGGGGCUCAAUCCCACGAGCCGAGCCUGCUCGGCUAGUCAAACCCACGAGUGGCUCGUGGGCACACGGCUCGUGGGCUCGUUAAAAAAUAUUAAUUUUUUUUAAAAAAAAUGUUGACUCGUGGGCUCGUCAAAAAAUAUUAAUUUUUUUUAAAAAAAUGUCCAAAAUGUGCAAGUUACCAAAAAAAAUUAAAAAAAAUCACGAGCUCACGAGUCGCUCGUGAGCUCGGCUGGGCCAGCGAGCUCGUGAGCCAAGCCGAGCUCGUGGGUUAAAGGGUCGAGCCGGCUCGGUCCAUUGCCAUCAUUAUGUAUAGGUCACGUGUCACAAAUUCAAGAAAUCUAGUCAUAUACCAUUGAUUUUUCUGACCUUAGUUACUCAAGCUGGUCACAAAUUCAAUUAAUCAAAUUUUGACGAUGAGAAUUUAAGUUAUUUACUCUAUUAAGUGCUUUAUAAAUUGUAUCAAGAGUUGUUUUUCAUUUUUCAAUUAAAAAACGCUGUAAAUUAUACAAGUACUGCUCAAUCCUAGUCACCAAUGAACUCAGUCAUCACUGAGCGACGAUCAAUUUGUUGCUAAAUAAGUGGCCGAUAGGGUGAAGGUUGGAGGGUGUCGCCAACGAGUGGGAUCGUGAGCGGUUGGGAUGGGUGGGGGUAGAAUAAUUUAAUUUGAUAAUAUUAUUAUUUAAAAUUAAAAAAAUAAAAGUAAGACUUUUACAUUUUGAAACUUAAUCUCUAAUAUUUGAUUUAGUGCAUACUUAAUGGUUGAGAUGUGAUUUUUUCUCGCAGCAAAAUUACAAAGUAGGUAGACAAAGUUUGUUGACAAGAUGUAGAUCAUUAAUUUAUUUUGAUUUAAAAAUUUGAUUUUGAAAUGAGUUAUAUAGAUUUUGUCAACUCAUAUUUUGUCAACCUCAUUGACAUAGCACCACUCUAAAAUAAUGACUCGCCUGCUAAAGGUGCGAACCGUCUUAUAGAAUUACGACCGAGUUAAUGACUGGACCGGCUAGGGUUAACAAUGCUCUGAACAUUCGGAAACAGGAAAACUCUACUGUCUACUGGAAGUUUCCCGCUUAGGUAUUCUGCAACAAAGUUUUUAUUUUCUUCGUUCAAUUAUGUUCAUUAGAUCUCUUGUUUUUAUCAGUGAAAAUUUUGUUCAUGUUAAACACUGGUUAAGGCUUCUUCGAUUUUUUUUUUUAAGGUGCGAACCGUCUUAUAGAAUUACGACCGAGUUAAUGACUGGACCGGCUAGGGUUAACAAUGCUCUGAACAUUCGGAAACAGGAAAACUCUACUGUCUACUGGAAGUUUCCCGCUUAGGUAUUCUGCAACAAAGUUUUUAUUUUCUUCGUUCAAUUAUGUUCAUUAGAUCUCUUGUUUUUAUCAGUGAAAAUUUUGUUCAUGUUAAACACUGGUUAAGGCUUCUUCGAUUUUUUUUUUUAAUAUUUUUAUUUAGACUGAUUGAUAUUUAAUCAUUGAUGAAUAUUUGGAUUCCAGAAAAUCAUUAACGGAUAUUUGGAUUCUAUAUUCACUUUUCAACUUCUGUUCCCAUGGCGGUAUGUAGAUGCUUACUUCACUUUGAGUGGUUGGUUAUUCAUUUUCUGUGAACUUGCGAUAAUAAUGUGAUUUGAUUGUGUAGGUAGAAAGACUUUUCAAAAAUGAAGCUACCGAAGAAAAGGGUGAGCGAGCCAGAAUGGUGAGUCUUGUAUAAUAUAAUAAAAUAAAUCAUUUUGAAACAUUUUGUUAAUGGCGCUUUAUUAGUAGAAAAUUAGAUAUGAAUCACGGUGGACUGGCUUGUUUCUAGACUGACAAUUGUUUUUUGUGGGUGUUAAUAUAAGGCCUCCUUUAUUGGAGCAAUGGCGAUUGCUGACUUGGUGAAGACAACCUUGGGGCCUAAGGGGAUGGUAAAAUUGCUUGUUCUUCUGAUUACGUGUAUCGAUUGUCGAUAUUUUUCUUUGUUUACUCUCUGUGUAACUUCCCUUUGUAGGAUAAAAUUUUACAAUCAACUGGCAGAGGGCACAGUGUUACAGUUACGAAUGAUGGUGCCACCAUCCUAAAGUCUCUACAUAUUGACAACCCUGCUGCCAAAGUCCUUGUGGGUAUCCUUGAUGUUAAGUUAUUGUUGUGUUUCUUUGCUUCACCAUUUAAGGAAUAUGAUUUUUACCAUGAAAAAACUAACUUCUAUUGCUAUGUGUAAUGGUGGAUUUUGAAGCUUGAGCUGUUGAAUGUUACUUACACGAUAUAGGUCACAAUCCUAAAAAUGUUGGUGUUCAAGUGUUAUUUUCAAGUAUUCAAGUAUCUGCAGUCUAAAAUUACUCUUGUAUGAAAAUUGAACAUGGCAAGCUGAUUUGAUUCUUCAUUUCUUCUCAAAUCAGAUUUGUCCAGAAGCUAAAACUAUAGUAGUAGUCUGUAUAGCUAUUGUAUUAGCAACUAGCAAGCCUUGAUUCUAUUGUCAGACAUCUCAAAAGUCCAAGAUGAUGAAGUCGGCGAUGGAACCACUUCAGUUGUUGUCUUGGCUGGGGAGCUUUUGAGGGAGGCGGAGAAGCUGGUAAAUUCAAAAAUCCAUCCGAUGACAAUUAUUGCAGGUAAGUUCUAUGUUUUUUUUUAAUGAUCUUAUUUCUGAUUUCACCUUUCUUACUCAUUAUUUCGUGUGUGCUAUUUCCAUAGUGGUGGCAGGCACUUCAGGUUCUAUAAACUUCAUCAAUAUGAAAGAUAAACUAGCACAAGUUUAAUAUUGAUAUGAUAAUUACAGUUUCAUUUCCCCUGCUUUGUAUCUCUCUCUUUAAUCACCUUUCUACUUUUGCAAUGAUGGAAUUAGUGAGUUUCUUGGAGUUGACAACAAAUUUCUUUGCACAACAUUAGGGAUAGUUGAUUCUUUGUUAACUGUUGGUAUGUUUAUUUAUGCGAUAUAAAUAUGAUAUCCUGUCAUUCUUAGAUCCUAUGAAGGUAUAUUUGAUUGGAAUUGUUCUAAGUUUUUUGAAAUAAUUACUAUAUACACAACAUUUUCAGGAUAUCGUAUGGCAGCUGAAGCUGCUAGGAACGCGUUGCUGGAAAAGGUUAUGGAUAAUAAACAGGAUGCUGGUAAUUAGUAUCUACUUCUCAUUCUCACUUUUGAAUUUGGUAUUUGCCCCUGAUAUAAGUAUCAUGAUUGCUGGUUCAUCAAUUCUGAUAGCUUGUUGCUCCCUAUUUAACUCAAAUCUGUUUCAUAAUCAUAUGUUUUUUUAAUUCAUAAAAGUCUAUUCCAUAUGAUUGUACACUUACUAGAAUAAUUCUCCAUUUGGCCUAUCUAGAAGUUUUCGUUUCUUGAUGUAAUGCUAUUAUCCUUUACAUUUUCUAACUGGCUUCACAUGGAAAUCACCGGCAGAUUGCAUUGUUAAGUGGAAAAUGAUUCACUAUACUUUUAAGCAAUUAAUUGGUCUAAAAUGAAAAGGUGAUAAGUUUUAUAAACUAUGGAUUUAACUUGAAUGUAUGAUUUAUUAGUUGAAUUUUGAUAUGAUGGCAUUGACAUGUCUAAUGUUCAUCCUUGGUGAUCUUGCAGAUAAAUUCAAAGAAGACUUAUUAAAGAUAGCAAUGACCACUUUGAGUUCCAAAAUUCUCUCUCAGGACAAAGAACAUUUUGCAACACUAGCUGUCGAUGCAGUUAUGAGGCUAAAGGUAAAGUUAUUUGCUCUUAGUUACUUGUGAAUUUGAUGCCUUGAGUGUGUUACAUAGGCUAUUUUGUCAUACCUGUCUAUUCUUGUCUCCUGGUAAUAGUAAUUUAGCUAUUAAAAAUGGUUGGAAACUUCUGAAACUGAUGAAAAGAUUUUAGCUGCAUUUACUGAUGGAUGCUGGACAACUUUGUGAGUUCUAAAUUUGUUCUGAUCAAAUGAAUACCAAUAUACCAUUGCAUAACAUCAGUGUGGGACAUCUUGGGUGUGAUUCUCUUCAAGCAUUUACAGACACUAAGGGUCCCUUUGAUUGUAAAGAUGAAAUUUGGGUGGAAAAAACGAAUUCCGGGGAAUUGAAUUGCCUAGAAAUUGUUUUUCUGAGAAUUGUAAAUUAUUGUGUUUGAUUGGUAUAAUUUUUCACGUGAAAAAUGUUGAAAUAAAAGUGUUUUUUGGUGUUUGUUUGGCUUUGUUUUACAUGAAAUUUGUCAAUUGCCUUCCAAUGUAAAAAUGCUGUGCCUUCUGAUUUUAAAGCUAUUCCAGACUUUGUCUUGACUUUUCAGUCUUUUAGUGUUGUAAAUUGCGUAGUUUUUACUAUCCCAGCAAAUGUUGCCUUGUUUCUUUCACAGAAAAUGUUGGUCAGACAACUGGUUUUAAAUAAUAGAAGUAAUUGUUCUGAAAGUAGACACUGGGCUAAGCUUAAUUUGGUUUUCUAAUGUGUGAAGUAAUUUGUGCAGUUCUACAUUUUUUUUAAUAUAUAAUUUGGGUUUAGUUUCUGAAGCUAUGUAUAACACUUCUAUGCUUACUGUAUGCACACGACACUUUUGAUUGAUUAAGUUCUCUUCUGAAUAUCUCAUCCAACAGAUUGAACUUGAACGAGUGGUUCAGAGGAUUGAAAACCAAAAUUCAGCUGGAGAAAUUUUCCACUCUAUGGUUGAAAGUGCAUUGCAUCAAUAUGGUCGUGGCAGUGCUGAUCUUGUAACUGAAUUGUGCAGUGAAGGCAGGCUUUCACAUGUAAGAAUUAUGUCUUUCACUAUUGGUGAAGUGAAGGGAUAUUUGCAUUUAUGUGUCUUUCUUUUUGGUGACUUGCAGGAGUUCAUGCAAAUGCUCAGUCAUGACAUUUCCCAAAGACUUAAAGAUGAAGCAGGAUCAUAGGCAAAAGAAUUUCUGUUCUUUUACAUGUGAUAUGAAUGUACUUCAAGUAGUUGGGUUACUACAUGAGUGCAAAAUUUCUUAGUACGUUGUGAUUUUUGCCUGUGGUUGAUUGCUAAAAUAUAGUUACUAGAAUGUUGUGUUCUCUUUGAGAGUACGAAGAGCUGUGCAGUUGUGGAUCAAUGAAUUGACACAGAUCAUGGUUCAUUUGUAAGAGAAUUCAAUUGGACUAUUGAUAUCUCCGAGCCGUACAUCUUAACCUCUUCGAGGUUCAUUUGCUUGCUUUUGAGUUUCCUUUUCCCUGCUAUUGAACCUCGACAAAUUGAGUUCUAAAUCUGCUUUAUGUUGAUAAUCUUUCCACGAUCUUGUUGAAAGGCGAUGCCUUUCAUAAAUUUUUGUGGUGGUUAUGUUUGGAUGUUAGAGAUUCAUACGCUAAAUGUAAUACGAAAAUAUCCAUGUUUUGUUUCGCAUGAAAUUAAAUUCAUGGUGUGAAACUUUCUAACGAA
rnacentral:lncRNA from 1 species